GUUGACACACAACCCAUCUCUCUGUGUGUUUUAUGACUUAUUCAAGCGCAACCCAAGCAGCACUCUGAAAGACUAAUUAGGUGGCAGUAGACGGCGUGGAGAAUGACGGCUGGAAGAGUCAGAAGACACAUCCUUCUGCUCUACCUGGAGGGAUGGGAGAAACUGUAGAAGAUUCUGCUGCAUUAUUGACGAACAGUGAAGACACUGGUUAGCCAGGCGGUCAGGAGUAGGCUGUGGCUGACACGGGUGGAGGCAGAGAGAGUCAGAGAGGGUAGACUAGGCUGUGGCUGACAGGGGUGGAGGCAGAGAGAGGCAGAGAGGGUAGAUUAGGCUGUGGCUGACAGGGGUGGAGACAGAGAGAGUCAGAGAGGGUAGACUAGGCUGUGGCUGACAGGGGUGGAGGCAGAGAGAGUCAGNNNNNNNNNNNNNNNNNNNNNNNNNNNNNNNGGCUGACAGGGGUGGAGGCAGAGAGAGGCAGAGAGGGUAGAUUAGGCUGUGGCUGACAGGGGUGGAGACAGAGAGAGUCAGAGAGGGUAGACUAGGCUGUGGCUGACAGGGGUGGAGGCAGAGAGAGUCAGAGAGGGUAGACUAGGCUGUGGCUGACAGGGGUGGAGGCAGAGAGAGUCAGAGGGGGUAGACUAGGCUGUGGCUGACAGGGGUGGAGUCAGAGGGGGUAGACUAGGCUGGGACAGGGGGUGGGGGGGACAGAGGCACACAGCCCAGACCACACACCAGCAGCAUUCCCACAAGCCUCUGCAACAGAGAUGGACGUAGAGGCCAUGUAUUUUCCCUCCCAUCAACCCUGCUACUCAAAGCAAAGAGAGGGGAGACCCAGCCAAGCUCCCCCUCCGGGAGCUCCCCCUCCAGGAGCUCCCCAUCCAGGAACACCAGAGGAAAGUGGAGGACAACAAGCAUCUACUUGAGGAGGUACAGUACAUGUGGUAGGAACUACAACGUCUUCUAUUUUGCCUCUAGGACUUGUGGGAAAGGUAGUCAUGGAGUCUACCUCAGAAGAUGCUUGCCCCCGGGUGGGUGGAGAGAGAGAAACACUCAUAUUGAAUAUCACACAGUUGACUGAUGUGUGUGUGUGUGUGUGUGUGUGAGAGAGAGAUGAGAUGGGGCUAGCAGUGUGUGUGUGUGUGUGCGAGAGAGAGAGAGAGAUGAGAUGGGAUCAGCAGUCGGUUAGUUGUCUUGCAGCGGUGGUGACAUCUUCACAGCUAUCAGAUCACAGCAGAGUGUGACUGUGAGAGGAUAACGCUAUAGAGGCUGUACUGACUGUGAGAGGAUAACGCUAUAGAGGCUGUACUGACUGUGAGAGGAUAACGCUAUAGAGGCUAUACUGACUGUGAGGGGAUAACGCUAUAGAGGCUGUACUGACUGUGAGAGGGGAUAACGCUAUAGA
rnacentral:lncRNA from 13 species